UUAGAUGGGUUAGACCAAAGGAAUUUUUCCAUCCUUGAAAACUAAAGAAAUCUUUUACCUUGUAAUAUAGGGCAUCCAUCUUUUCCAGAUGGCAACACUUUUAAAGUUAGGGUUUCGGAGAACCCAUAAAAAUGAGAAAGACCUCGAAAAGUUACCGAUCUAGCCGGAAAAGCCAUAGAUCUGACUCGAAUGGCCAUGGAUGGCCGGGAAAAAAUCAUUAAUAGAAGUUGAGCAAAGCCUGGACUAGAUCUCUUUGAUACUUUCCAUGAAAUCACGAAAACAAGCAACCAUGAGACAUAGGAGACCGGUAUACGUCUCAAACAACCAUGAAAGUCCAUAGAUUUGUGUGAGAAUCAAGGGGGAUUAGGGUUAAUUUGGGUAGGGUUUAAAAGGGUUAGGUCAGUUUUAAUUGGAAAUUAGGGCGGGGAAUUGGUUUUUGAUUUGGGUUAGAUUUGAAAGCCAAUUUGGCUAAAAUUUAAAUAGCCAUUUUUACUUUUAAAUUAAGAAAAAUAGUAAAUGAUUUCUGAAAAUUAAUUAAAAAGGCCAAAAUGAUUUAAAACACAUAAUUAAAAAUUUAAGAAUACAAGACCUAAUUUUAUGAAUAUAAAACCUAACUAAACCUUCAAAAGGGCUAAUAUUGCAAUUAAGUGCAAAGACAACUAGAUUUUAUUUUCUACUAAAGUUUUUGAAAAGGCUUUAUGACAAAACUAAUGAAUCCGGGACAAAAAAAAUUCAGCUUUUAGUGCUAAAAUUUUUACAAAUGAACUAAAUAAUUGAAGCAGCUUCCGCUGAAGUUUUUGAAAAAACUUAUACAAGACAAAAACAAUUCAGCUUAUUUAGUGUUGAAGUAUUUAUAAAUGAACUAAAUAACUUCAACAUCUUCUGCU
rnacentral:lncRNA from 1 species